GGCGCCAGGUACGAUAAACAUGCAGUCGAGCGGGGAGAUGUACCUUGCUACUUUACCUAGCGGCGGACGGGUGAGUAAUGCUUAGGAAUCUGCCUAUUAGUGGGGGACAACAUUCCGAAAGGUAUGCUAAUACCGCAUACGCCCUACGGAGGACAGCAGGGCAUCUUCGGACCUUGCGCUAAUAGAUGAGCCUAAGUCAUAUUAGCUAGUUGGUGGGGUAAAGGCCUACCACGGCGACCAUCUGUAGCGGGUCUGAGAGGAUGAUCCGCCACACUGGGACUGAGACACGGCCCAGACUCCUACGGGAGGCAGCGGUGGGGAAUAUUGGACCAUGGGCGCAAGCCUGAUCCAGCCAUGCCGCGUGUAUGAAGAAGGCCUUUUGGUUGUAAAGCACUUUAAGCGAGGAGGAGGCUACUUGGAUUAAUACUCUAGGAUAGUGGACGUUACUCGCAGAAUAAGCCCCUGCUAACUCUGUGCCAGCAGCCGCGGUCAUGCAGAGGGUACGAGCGUUAAUCGGAUUUACUGGGCGUAAAGCGUGCGUAGGCGGCUUUUUAAGUCGGAUGUGAAAUCCCUGAGCUUAACUUAGGAAUUGCAUUCGAUACUGGGAAGCUAGAGUAUGGGAGAGGAUGGUAGAAUUCCAGCUGUAGCCCUAAAAUGCGUAGAGAUCUGGAGGAAUACCGAUGGCGAAGGCAGCCAUCUGGCCUAAUACUGACGCUGAUGUACGAAAGCAUGGGGAGCAAACAGGAUUAGAUACCCUGGUAGUCCAUGCUGUAAACGAUGUCUACUAGCCGUUGGGGCCUUUGAGGCUUUAGUGGCGCAGCUAACGCGAUAAGUAGACCGCCUGGGGAGUACGGUCGCAAGACUAAAACUCAAAUGAAUUGACGGGGGCCCGCACAAGCGGUGGAGCAUGUGGUUUAAUUCGAUUCAACGCGAAGAACCUUACCUGGUCUUGACAUAGUAAGAACUUUCCAGAGAUGGAUUGGUGCCUUCGGGAACUUACAUACAGGUGCUGCAUGGCUGUCGUCAGCUCGUGUCGUGAGAUGUUGGGUUAAGUCCCGCAACGAGCGCAACCCUUUUCCUUAUUUGCCAGCGGGUUAAGCCGGGAACUUUAAGGAUACUGCCAGUGACAAACUGGAGGAAGGCGGGGACGACGUCAAGUCAUCAUGGCCCUUACGACCAGGGCUACACACGUGCUACAAUGGUCGGUACAAAGGGUUGCUACCUAGCGAUAGGAUGCUAAUCUCAAAAA
rnacentral:rRNA from 1 species